UUCCAGGCCCUUACGGGGCGCAGCAGGCGCGAAACCUCUGCAAUAGGCGAAAGCUUGACAGGGUUACUCUGAGUGAUUUCCGUUAAGGAGAUCUUUUGGCACCUCUAAAAAUGGUGCAGAAUAAGGGGUGGGCAAGUCUGGUGUCAGCCGCCGCGGUAAUACCAGCACCCCGAGUGGUCGGGACGAUUAUUGGGCCUAAAGCAUCCGUAGCCGGUUCUACAAGUCUUCCGUUAAAUCCACCUGCUUAACAGAUGGGCUGCGGARGAUACUAUAGAGCUAGGAGGCGGGAGAGGCAAGCGGUACUCGAUGGGUAGGGGUAAAAUCCGUUGAUCCAUUGAAGACCACCAGUGGCGAAGGCGGCUUGCCAGAACGCGCUCGACGGUGAGGGAUGAAAGCUGGGGGAGCAAACCGGAUUAGAUACCCGGGUAGUCCCAGCUGUAAACGAUGCAGACUCGGUGAUGAGUUGGCUUAUUGCUAACUCAGUGCCGCAGGGAAGCCGUUAAGUUUGCCGCCUGGGGAGUACGGUCGCAAGACUGAAACUUAAAGGAAUUGGGCGGGGGAG
rnacentral:rRNA from 1 species